rnacentral:snoRNA from 1 species
AUCCUCAGGUUCAUAAGCGUGAUGAUUGGGUGCUCAUGUUCCACAUAACAUGUGCCUCCUUUGAGCCUUGUUAUGACAUCGGCACAUUACCCAUCUAACU